rnacentral:lncRNA from 1 species
CUUACUUCACUUAGCAUGAUAUUCUCCAUCUCCAUCCAUUUACUUUCAAAUGCCAUGAUUUAAUUCUCUUUUAAUGCUGAGUAAUAUUCCAUUCUGUAUAUAUACCACAGUUUCUUUAUUCAUUCAUCUGUUGAAGGCAUCUUGGUUCCACAAUGUAGCUAUUGUGAAUUGUGAUGCUAUAAACAUUGAUGUGGCUGUGUUCCUGUAGUAUGUUGUUUUUAAGCCCUUUGGAUAUAGACCGAGGAGAGGAAUAGCUGGGUCAAAUGGUGGUUCCAUUCCCAAUUUGUGAAGAAAUCUCUACACUGUUUUCCAUAUUGGCUGCACCAAUUUGCAGCCCCACCAAGCAGUGUAUGAGUAUACCUUUCCCCUCCACAUCCUCACCAACACCUAUUAUUGUUUGUAUUCAUAAUAACUGCCAUUCUGACAGGAGUGAGAUAAAAUCUUAGAAUAGUUUUGAUUUGCAUUUCUCUAAUUGCUAGCGAUGAUGAACAUUUUUUCAUAUAUUUGUUGAUUGAUGUAUAUCAUCUUCUGAGAAGUGUCUGUUCAGGUUCUUGGUCCAUUUAUUGUGUUUUUUGUUUUUUGGUGUUUAGCUUUUUGAGUUCUUUAUAUACCCUAGAGAUUAGUGCUCCAUCUGAUGUGUGAAGGGUAAAUAUUUAUUCCCAGAAUGUAGGCUCUGUAUUGACCUGAUGGAUUGUUUCUUUUGCCAAGAAGAAACUUUUUAAUUUGAGUCCAUCCCAUUUAUUGAUUUUUGAUUUUAAUUCUUGCACCAAAGAAGUUUUAUUAAGAAAGUUGGGGCCUAAUCCCACAUGGUGGAUAUUAGGGCCUAUUUUUUCUUCUAUUAGACACAGGGUUUCCGGUUUAAUUCCUAGGUCCUUGAUCCACUUUGAAUUGAGUUUUGUGCAUAGUGAGAUAUAGAGGUUUAAUUUAAUUUUGCAGCAUAUGGAUUUCCAGUUUUCCCAGCACCAUUUGUUGAAGAGUCUAUCUUUUCUCCAAUGUAUGUUUUUGGCACUUUUGUCUAAUAUAAGAUAAUUGUAAUUUUGUGGGUUAGUCUCUGUGUCCUGUAUUCUGUACUGUUGGUCUACCAGUCUGUUUUGGUGCCAAUACCAUGC